rnacentral:lncRNA from 1 species
UAAGAAUUUCUCUCUCAGGCCGGGCGCAGUGGCUCAUGCCUAUAAUCCCAGCACUUUGGGAGGCCCAGGCGGGUGGAUCACAAGGUCAAGAGAUUGAGACCAUCCUGGUCAACAUGGUGAAACCCCGUCUCUACUAAAAAUACAAAAAUUAGCUGGGCAUGGUGGUACGCGCCUGUAGUCCCAGCUACUUGGGAGGCUGAGGCAGGAGAAUUGCUUGAACCCAGGGCACAGAGGUUGCGGUGAGCUGAGAUCGCGCCAUUGCACUCCAGCCUGGGCGACCAGAGCUAAACUCCAUCUCCAAAAAAAAAAAAAAGAACAUCUCUCUCUUAGAUGAAUAGUCAUCUCACCUCUCUUUUCUUCAUCCUAUACAAUACUUCUAGGCUGGGCACAGUGGCUGAUGCCUGUAAUUUCAACACUGGGAGGCCCAGCUGGGAGGAUCACUUGAUGCCAGGAGUUCAAGAGCAGCCUGAGCAACAAACCAAGACCCUGUCUCCAUACACACACACACAAAAGUUUCCUUUUUUUGUUUUGUUUUGUGGUUAUAGUCUUUGCCAGUAUUGGAAUCUGUUUUGCUUGAGUCAUAAUAAGAAGUUGGAAGUUUUUCUCCUAUUAUGUAUGCUGUAAAAUAAUAUUAAACCUAUUGUAUAUUACUUUAAAAUAAUAUUAAACCUACUUUUCUAUAAAUACUUGGUUGGAUUCCCCUGUGAAACUGUCUGGUCCUGUUUUUUUUUUUUUUUUUUUUUUUUUUUUGAGACGGAGUUUCGCUCUUGUUACCCAGGCUGGAGUGCAAUGGCGCAAUCUCGGCUCACCGCAACCUCCGCCUCCUGGGUUCAGACAAUUCUCCUGCCUCAGCCUCCCGAGUAGCUGGGAUUACAGGCACGCACCACCGUGCCCAGCUAAUUUUUUGUAUUUUUAGUAGAGACGGGGUUUCACCAUGUUGACCAGGAUGGUCCCGAUCUGCUGACCUCGUGAUCCACCCGCCUCGGCCUCCCAAAGUGCUGGGAUUACAGGCUUGAGCCACCGCGCCCGGCCCUGUUUUGUUUUUGAGACAGGUUCUUACUCUGUCACCCCAGGCUGGAGUGCUAAGGCAUGAUAAUGGCUCACUGCAGCCUUGAACUGGUCCUCCCACCUCAGCCUCCCAGGUAGUUAGGACUACAGGCGUGCACCAACACACCCGGCCAGUUUUAAAAAGUUUUUUGUAGAGACAGGGUCUCACUAUGUUGCCCAGAUUGGUCUUGAACUCCUGACCUCAAGCGAUUUUCCUGCCUUGGCCUCCCAAAGCACUGGGAAAAUAGGGCGACAUUCUUUAAUUCUUCUAUAGUAACUUGUCUGGAUCUUUGUCCUUUCUGAAACCGUUUUGUCAUCCAUUUUUAUGGAUAAGCCAUCACUGUAAUUCACAUUUUUACAACAAAGCAUCUUGCAUGGUUUUCUUUUUUUUUCUUUUUGAGACAGUUUCACUCUGCCCCCCAGGCUAUUCAAGACUAAGUUGGCUGGGCAUGGUGGCAAUUUAGCAUAUUCAAGACUAAAUUACAGGCUCAUGCCUGUAAUACCAGCACUUUGCUGAAGCAGGUGGGUCACCUGAGUUCAAGAGUUCAAGAUCAGCCUCGCCAACAUGGCAUAAGCCUGCCUCUGCUAAAAAUACAAAAAAAAAUUAGCUGGGCGUGGUGGCAGGUAGCUCUAAUCCCAGGUACUGGGGAGACUGAGGCAAGAGAAUCACUUAGAUCUGGGACACAGAAGUUGCAGUGAGCCAAGAUCAUGCCCUUGCACUCCAACCUGGGCUACAAGAGCAAAAUUCUGUCUCAAAACAAACAAACAAGACUAAAUCUACUAUUAGUUUAGUAUUUCACUACUUCUAGCACAAUUUGCAACAAAACACGUUUUGCUUGAGGGAAUUGUUCAACAUUAAUGAAAUAAAAUUAAAUUUUAUAAGCAUAACAACUGAAUAGUACAUAAAAUUUCCAUUGUAAGUUCACAGUAUAAACAAAUUGUGAUAUAUUCAUAAAUGGAAUACUAUACAACAGGGAAAAGAAUAAACUACUGAUGAUGUGCAGUAACAUGGAUGAAUUUCAAAACCAUUGUGUUGAAAGAAGCCAGACAUAAUAUAUAAAGACAUACUACAUGAUUCCAUGUACAUGAAGUUCAAGAACAGGCAAAACUUAUCUGUGGUGAUGGAUGUCAGAAUGGAGGUUAUCUCUGGAAGCAUAUUGACCAGAAAGGGGAAAAUUGGACCUUAGAGGUGAUGGAAAUCUCUUUUUUUUUUGAGAUGAAGUUUCACUGUCGUUACCCAGACUGGAGUGCAAUGGCACGAUCUUGGCUCACCGCAACCUCCGCCUCCUGGGUUCAAGCAAUUCUCCUGCCUCAGCCUCCCGAGUAGCUGGGACUACAGGUGCGCACCACCAUGCCCAGCUAAUUUUUGUAUUUUUAGUAGAGACAGGGUUUCACCUUGUUGACCAGAUGGUCUUGAUCUCUUGACCUCGUGAUCCACCUGCCUCGACCUCCCAAAGUGCUGGGAUUAUAGGCAUGAGCCACCGUGCCUGGCCGAUGGAAAUCCUAUACAUGUUGAAUGGGUAGUGGUUAAAGGAAUGUGUGCAAAGGGUAAAAUUCAUCAAGUUGUAUGCAUCUUUCUGUAUGUCUAGAAUUCCUUAAUUAAACAAAGCAAAAUACAGGUGCAAGCUGCCACACCAGGCUAAAUUUUGUUUUUAAAACUAGAGGGGGUUUCACCAUGUUGGCCAGGCCAGUCUCGAACUCCUGACCUCAGGUGAUCCUCCCACCUUGGCCUCCUAAAGUGCUGGGAUUACUGGUGUGACCCACUGUGCCUGGCCUAAAAAAGAUGCGAAUGAUCUGCUAUCAGAGUUUGCACCAACGCAAAACAAGCACAGCUGGCCUGUCUCCAUAGUUAAAUCUAUGGGUCUCUGCUCUGUUUCUAAAACUGGGCUAUGUAAUGUCCCUUUUGAGAUCAGCUCUUAGUUUUGUGAAUAUACACGAAGAGAUUUUUAAAAUAAAUUCUUAUAUACAUAUACAUACAUACCUAUGCAAAUA